GCGCGUUUUUUGUAUCUCCCAUCGGAUUUGGAUUGAGUCGCACGGAGUCAAUAUUAUUUGCGGGCAAGAGUCAACCCGGAGUCACCUUGGGUUAAGUGGUUUAUAGCCCAGUCGUGGGUGGACGCACAAUUAUACCCUGGGACGUAUAACCUUUAUAGACGAUAUCGAACACGGUGACUAUAAAUAAUAUCAAUAUCGAAAUUGAAAUUCGUUGACAUCUGCCACUGUGGUGUGUUAAUAAAAGAAAGCAGUUAUGCCUACAAAUUCGAUCCAGUAUUCUGAAAAAUACUCAGAUGACAGAUAUGAAUACAGGCAUGUGAUGCUGCCAUCAAACUUGGCCAAGAGUGUUCCAAUGACCCAUCUGAUGACGGAGAGUGAAUGGAGGAAUCUUGGUGUACAGCAGUCUCCGGGGUGGGUCCACUACAUGGUUCAUCUUCCUGAGCCGCACGUGCUUCUGUUCCGGAGGCCGCUGCCUCAGCCGUCAGGAGGUCGGUCUGCCGCCCAUCAGAGCCAGCCGGUCACCUGCCAGUAAAGUGAGACAUCACCCAGCCCGUCACCUGCCAAUGACGUGACGUCACUCAGCUGGUCAUUAUCGGUGUUACGUCACCAGUAGGACGAGACGUCUCUGCUGCGGUACCGUUUCUCCGUCAUGGUAGGUUCUGUGUGGCGGUGCUGUGACCAAUCUCAGCGGGAUAACUGAGACUGUAACAUGUGGGUGUUUGAACGUUGUAAGACAUUGCUCUGUCACCGUGGGUUUAGACUGUCGAUAGUUGCUGGCGAUGAUCAGGCAAUGCUGUCAGACUUGGUGUCUGUUGUCGGAGAAUGUGUUAUUGCUAGGUCCAAGGUCAUCAGUGUUUCAUCUAUCAUAUUUUCAUCUCAUAGUUCAAACAUUCGGUAAACUAAGCUGUGCGGCCGUGUUCGUCGCUUUUUCCGAAAUUCCCAUAAGGGGGUGGAAGAAGAGACCCAAGCCGUGGGUGGUGGGCUGUAGUAACCGAAAAGAUAAUCCGACUAACGGUGACCCACGCUAAUUGCUCUUUUGGCAAUUUGUUCUCCGAAGUGCAUACCAACUUUCUCGGCUAUAAUCGACUGCAGGUCCGUUCCGUUCGAUAUUACGCACUGAAUGGUGUCUCGACUCUCGUGUUCCAUUUCACAUCUGACUGUCACCUGUUAGGUACUUCUGUGUUUUGCAUGAAGGGGUGGUUUGGUUUGGAGCCCUGUCUUAUCUGUGCGUAAUGCGUAUGCCCUGCAUGCAUUGCAAUAUAAUGUAACCAAAGCAA
rnacentral:lncRNA from 1 species